rnacentral:rRNA from 1 species
CCUACGGGUGGCAGCAGUGGGGGAUAUUGCACAAUGGGGGAAACCCUGAUGCAGCGACGCCGCGUGUGGGAAGACGGUCCUCUGGAUUGUAAACCACUGUCCCCAGGGACGAAGAUGACGGUACCUGGGGAGGAAGCUCCGGCUAACUACGUGCCAGCAGCCGCGGUAAUACGUAGGGAGCGAGCGUUGUCCGGAAUUACUGGGUGUAAAGGGAGCGUAGGCGGGGAUGCAAGGUGGGUGUCAAAACUACCGGCUCAACUGGUAGUCGCACUCAAAACUGCAGCUCUUGAGUGGAAGAGAAGUAUGCGGAAUGCGUGGUGUAGCGGUGAAAUGCAUAGAUAUCACGCAGAACCCCGAUUGCGAAGGCAGCAUGCCGGCUUCCUACUGACGCUGAAGCACGAAAGCGUGGGGAUCGAACAGGAUUAGAUACCCGGGUAGUC